rnacentral:rRNA from 1 species
CCUACGGGUGGCAGCAGUGAGGAAUAUUGGUCCAUGGCCGGAAGGCUGCCCCAGCCAAGCCGCGUGAAGGACGAAGGUGCCAAGCAUUGUCCACUUCUUUUGUCACGGGACAAAAUCCGGCUCGAGAGCCUGACCGAGGGUACUUGAAGAAAAAGCAUCGGCUAACUCCGUGCCAGCAGCCGCGGUAAUACGGGGGCUGCGAGCGUUAUCCGGAAUUAUUGGGGUUAUAGGGUGCGUAGGCGGACUGUUCAGUCCGCGGUAAAAGCCCGGGGCGCAACCCCGGCGAGCCGGUGAAACUGGCUGUCUUGAGAUGUCGAGAGGGAUGCGGAAUGCGCAGUGUAGCGGGGAAAUGCGUAGAUAGUGCGCAGAACUCCGAUUGCGAAGGCAGCAUACCGGCGGCGAUCUGACGCUGAGGCACGAAAGCGUGGGUAUCGAACAGGAUUAGAUACCCGGGUAGUC